GUAGAUCUGUAUCGAAAGUUACAACUGUUCAGCAGGUUUACUGUACCGGAGUAGAUCUGUAUUGAAAGUUACAACUGUUCAGCAGGUUUACUGUACCGGAGUAGAUCUGUAUUGAAAGUUACGACUGUUCAGCAGGUUUACGUAGAAUAUUUAUUGAAACAAAGUAGCACAUCGAUCCAAUUUAAAAAAGAAACAAACAAAAUAACAGCUAUAAGAAAUAUGUUUUGCAAAUCUCAAUGAAUUGCGAAGAGAAUAAAUAUACAGUUUGGAUUGAUAACAUAUAGGAACAAUGUUCUAAU